GUAUGAAUAUGUUUGUCAUAAGUUAAAGCACUACCAACUGUGAAUGAUUUACCACUGAUAUCACAAUGAUAAGGUUUCUCUCCUGAAUGAAUACGUUU